rnacentral:rRNA from 1 species
GAUGAACGCUGGCGGCGUGCCUAAUACAUGCAAGUCGAGCGAAUGGAUUAAGAGCUUGCUCUUAUGAAGUUAGCGGCGGACGGGUGAGUAACACGUGGGUAACCUGCCCAUAAGACUGGGAUAACUCCGGGAAACCGGGGCUAAUACCGGAUAACAUUUUGAACCGCAUGGUUCGAAAUUGAAAGGCGGCUUCGGCUGUCACUUAUGGAUGGACCCGCGUCGCAUUAGCUAGUUGGUGAGGUAACGGCUCACCAAGGCAACGAUGCGUAGCCGGCCUGAGAGUGUGAUCGGCCACACUGGGACUGAGACACGGCCCAGACUCCUUCGGGAGGCAGCAGUAGGGAAUCUUCCGCAAUGGACGAAAGUCUGACGGAGCAACGCCGCGUGAGUGAUGAAGGCUUUCGGGUCGUAAAACUCUGUUGUUAGGGAAGAACAAGUGCUAGUUGAAUAAGCUGGCACCUUGACGGUACCUAACCAGAAAGCCACGGCUAACUACGUGCCAGCAGCCGCGGUAA